AUGACAUUAUCAACGAAACUUUCAUCUUUGCCACUAAUUCUUUUCGCGUUUGGUACAGGAGUAAGAUCAACUGGUGCUAGUGGAAUUAAGCCAAAGACAAUGUAGAAAUGACACAUUUCGGUGCUGCAAUUGACGGAACAAUAGUAGGCGAACUCCACAAUACAUAACUUAUGGUCCAAUGACUUUAGAUGUUAACCAACUAAGCAACGCAAAAGGUCCCCUAAUUAGCGAUUCACAACUUCAGUUUGCCCAUCAGGUUGAGGAUGAGGUGUUGCUAAAAUUCAAUUGUGUAUUAGCUAAUUUCCGCAGGCUCCUCAAAAAAUGACUCAGAAAUUUGGUGUUCCGAUCAGAAACAAUCGAUCUUGGUAACUCAUGAAUUCAAUAUACAUCAUGAAAGAAUAACUCAGCAACUUUCGAAGCAUCCAUUGUCUUCUUGCAGACAAUAAAGUGAGCCAUCUUGGAAAAUCGAUCCAUCACAACAAAAAUUGAGUCUACACCGCACUGAGUACAAGGUAAACCUGAAACAAAAUCCAUGCUUAUAUCUACCCAUGGUUGUGAUGGAAUGGGUAAUGGCAUGUAUAAUCCAGCGUUUGCCGCUUUGCCUUUAGAAGCUUGGUAGAUUCGACAUCGUUCUACAAAAUGAUAUACAUAUUUGCACAUGGUAGGCCAGAAAUAAGAGAAAGAAAUAAGCUCAGGGUCUUGUCCCUUCCAACGUGGCCUUCAUUAUGUAACUCUUGUAUGAUCCUCAAUCUUAAACUAGACUCUGGUAUGCAAAGUUGGUUCCCUUUAAAAAGAAACCCAUCAUGCAACACAUAUUAUGUUAUAGUUCUAUGCUUAACAUCUUUAACAAAUGUAGAGAAGAAAGGAUCAGUUUUCAAUAAAUCCUUCAAAGAGUCAAACCCCAAUACUUGAAUUCUCAUCGAGCCAAGUAAAUACUUCCUCCAACUCAAAGCACCUGCAACUUGAUUUUGCACAUCGGCUUUGUGCUUUAAGAUGAAUGUAAAUUCUUGCAACUAUGCUGCCCACUUAGCAUGCCUCGUUGGCAAUUUUUCCUGAUUGUUUAUAUGCUUUAAAGAGUCAUGAUCGGAGAACCUAACAAACUCUUUGUAGAUCAGAUAGUGCCUCCCAUACUGCAAUGCUUGAACAAUGGCAUAGAAUUCCAAGUUGUUUGUGGAAUAAUUCAAUGUUGAAUGAUGAGUCCAUAUUAUGCCAUAUAUUUCACCAUAUUCUUAGUUAUAGUUAGCAAAGUCUUGGUGGAACAAUUAUUACUUUAUUUAUAACAAUAACUAAACUUUACUUUCUUUUUUUAGAACCAAAAAAAAAAACAAAAAAAAAAAAAAACAAAAACAAAAAAAAAAAAGAACUCAAAUGAAAGCAAGUGCUUCAAUCUCACCCCCAAAAAUCAUGUUGGUGUGAAUGUGCUAAUUGUCAAAGGAUAACUCAUGAAUUAGUACCUAAACAACAAUAAAUAGAAAAUACUCUAUCGUGGGGUUCAUCUCCACCAUGUUCAUUUGUUCUAACGUUUAAAAUAAUAUAUGAAUAUAAACUUAAAAAGAAUGAAAAAAUUUAGCAUACUUAAAAAUUAAAAAUCUAAAUAUUUUACUUUCCCACCUCAAACUUAAAUCAUACAUUGUUCUCAAGAUGCGGAAAAAAUAAAGAAAAAAAACAAAAAUAUUAAAACCUUAAAAACCGAAAAAUAGCUGACAAAGACAAAGAAAAUAAACUAGGGAAUAGAAAUAGAAAAAAGAAACAAUGAAAGAAAGUAUAAAAUAACAAAGGAAACAUAAACAGAAAUAAAAGAAAAGACAAGGAAACUGACACACCUGGGAUUCGAAGUGGUGACGUGGUGACAAGAAACAGAGGCGCUGGAAAAUAUUGGAAAAAAACGAUAUUUCAGUGCUCUGGAGUCUGGAGAAUUGGAAAACCUCUCCCAACCAGCGCCGCUUGAGAACCUCUCCCUGUAACCCUCGAGCCCAGAGCCGCUAAAGCCAUCUCCUUCGUUUCCUCUCUCUCUUUUCAUUUCUCAUAGAACUGAAACCCUAGCUUCUAUCUUCAACCCAGAACGUCAAAACAUGAAUCCAUCUCCAUCUCUGUCAAAAACGGAACCAUGGCGAUCUUUGAUUCUAGCCCAGAUUGUCACCAUCGUGCAUUCCUCUGCGAAACCCGAGACUUGGGGAUCCGAGUAAGGCCAGGGGGCAUAGGAACUGCAAGGAGCAAUGGCUCACAAAUGAAGGUGCUGUACACACAGCAAAGAUGGCUGCAAGAACUCGGAUCUACAAAAUGAAAGGUAAAUCAAAUCCCUCCACUGCGUUAAAAUUAAGCAUGGUUUAAUAUCUCUGAAAGUCAUACAGAUUUGUGAAAUGUUUCUGUCAUGCAUUUAUAGAACUAAAAUUUCGUCAAUGCUCAUGUAAUUUUCUGUGUGCUUGCAUGCCUCCAUGUGACAAAUAUUGAGACAAAAACUGUGCAUGACACUGGAUCUGUGACAUGGCUUUGAUGAAUGUCCACCUCUGUGUUGCCUGGACCAACAAUAUUUUAAUGAAAUAUGAGAGUGAGCGAGCGAAAGAUAAAUGUUGAUGAAUGCUCAGAUAAAUGUUGAUGAAUGGAUGACUGAUGAAUGCAUAUUUUUGUAUCUUUAUUGUUUCGUUUAUAGACGAGUAAGGUUUAUGUCCCUCUUCUUUUUCAUUUAUUUUUUAUUUCUUUUUCAUGUAUUACGAGAAGUUAGGUUUAUGUCCCCUAAUUAUAUGUAACUUACUUUAUGUUAUUAAUAAAAUUCUCCUCGUACCGUCAA